rnacentral:rRNA from 1 species
AGGAUGAACGCUGGCGGCGUGCCUAAUACAUGCAAGUCGAGCGGUAAGGCCCCUUCGGGGGUACACGAGCGGCGGACGGCUGAGUAACACGUAGGAACGUACCCCAAACUGAGGGAUAAGCACCAGAAAUGGUGUCUAAUACCGCAUGUGGUCUUCGGAUUAAAGCUUCGGCGGUUUGGGAACGGCCUGCGCAUGAUUAGCUUGUUGGUGAGGUAAAAGCUUACCAAGGCGACGAUCAUUAGCUGGUCUGAGAGGAUGAUCAGCCAGACUGGGACUGAGAACGGCCCAGACUCCUACGGGAGGCAGCAGUAGGGAAUUUUCCACAAUGGGCGAAAGCCUGAUGGAGCAACGCCGCGUGCAGGACGAAGGCCUUCGGGUCGUAAACUGCUUUUAUAUGUGAAGAUUAUGACGGUAGCAUAUGAAUAAGGAUCGGCUAACUCCGUGCCAGCAGCCGC